ensembl:lncRNA
UGUAGAUGCAGAGACAGGAUGGGGGUGGGGAGGAUGGAGGUUGGAUAGAGGUGUGUGUGGGGUGUGGUGGCCAGGUGUGUGUGAGACUGGUUGGGAGCAGGAGUAGGGUGUUGGAGGGUUGAGGGAGGGUAAUGUGGUUGAAGCCUGAUAGGUAGAAGACUUCCUUGAUGUCUGAGAGGAGAGGAAGGGAGGUGAAGGUGUAGGGAGAGUGGAGGGCCUGUGGUGAUGUGGGGGGUAGGAAUCUGCGGACGAGAGAGCGUUGAGCUGGGGACUGAGUGGGGUUAGUGCAUGCUACAGCCUUACAAUGUGGAGAAAAUCUAUCUGGCGGCUCAUAAAUGAUGGUAUUCCUUGCACAUCUCCAUAACGUGGCGGUUGAGGUGACAACAUCAGGGCUGCCAUGUGCUUUGAGCUUUCCGAUUGAUCUGCGAAGGCUUUCUGAUUGCUGGGGCAAGGAGAGUGGUGUGUUACUCCUUGUCUAUAGUUUUCUCCAUCCAGUAAGUCUGCAACAGAAAUUGGAACACUUGCCAUUUCACAGAGCCAAGUUUUGGCCUUAAAUCAGGGUGAAGAAGAUGCUCAAGGAUAAAUACUGAAUGUCGAAAUGUGUUAUUGGUUCUGGUUUUCUCUAAAAAGUAUAACUUUGUCUUGACUACAGAUGGACGUUUCGAAAGAAGGGCCUGGCCAAUCGAAGGUCAAGGAUGAUUGUUGCAUUAUUAUUUUGGACUCCAGUGAUGAAGAAUUUGAGCCCAUUGAGGCUGGACCUAGCACGCAGAAAAAAGACGUUGGCUGCGUGGUGAUUGACUCGGACUCUGAUAACGAACCCUUGCCUGAGGGAAAGAGAGCGAAGGUCUCCAAGACCUGUGGCGAAGAUGACAUUCUGGUGUUAUCUGACACUGAUGAGUCUUCAGUAAUUGUCAUUGAUGAUGAUAGUGAUAUGGAGAGCCCCGUGAUAAUAGAAGAUGGUUCAUGUGAGGAGGGCCAAAUUUCAUCAAUUAAAAAGGAAAUUGAGGACUUUACUAUCUCCAAACACAAUGCAUCUGAUGAUAAUGGUGAGCAGGAUGUUGGUGAAAAACUAGUAAAUGAUCCUGAAGCUAAGCUGCAGAUUUCAGAUACAAAGAUGGUAACUGAUGAAAAGGUUGUGGCAGUGGCGGAGCAACCAAGGAAGAGGAAGUGUAAAGGCAGAAAUACAUGUGUGACCCCUGCAUUUGGGCCUUCAACUAAGAAUCUCACCGUGGCAAACCAUGGAAACCACGAGAAUGGACUAGGUACAGCCUCCAGUUUGCACUAAACCAAAGCAAAUGCAGUGGAAAUGGUGAGAAGGCAGACCCAACAUGUUCCAAUCCACUGGAGUCAGAGGGAGGGCGGUCAAGAUUGUCUUCCAGAUUUUUCUAGUUCUUUGGGCGAACCCAUUUACUAUUUGUAUACAUUCUUGCAAAAUUUUAAAGCUUUAUUAAACAUUAGGGUAAAAUAGAUUUGCUUAUAGUUCCUUUAUUUUUAUUUAUUUAUUUUUAUUGGGUAACAGUGUGUUUUCUCCAGGACCCAUCAGCUCCAAGUCGUUGUCCUUCAAUCUAGUUGUGGAGGGCGCAGCUCAGCUCCAAGUCCAGUCGCCGUUUUCAAUCUUUGUUGCAGGGGGCGCAGCCCACCAUCCCAUGUGGGAAUUGAACCGGCUACCUUGUUGUUGAGAGCUCGCGCUCUAACCAGCUGAGCCAUCCAGCUGCCCCUCUGGGAGCUCAGCGGCAGCUCAUUGUCUUCAAUCUAGUUGUGGAGGGCGCAGCUCACUGGCCCAUGUGGGAAUCGAACUGGCGAUCUUGGUGUCAUGAGCACUGCGCUCUAACCAAGUGAGCUAUCCUACCACACCUAGUUCCUUUAUUUUUAUUAAGCCAUUUAUAAUUGAUACUGAAAACAAUAUGCCAUUUAAACCAAAGACAUACUAAUACUUAAAGCAAAAAAAUUAAUACAUUUUCUCAUUUAGACUCAAGGAACUUCUCACUUUUUUCCCUUAGUAAUAUGAUGUAGUAAGCAUGAGUUUGUUUUUGCUUGCAUUCAGGAGUAAUAUAUACUUACAUCUGAAUUACCUUACAAGAGAAGGAAUAUACAUGGCAUGAUCAAAAAAUAU